AUCUUUCUAAAUCUAACCAUCUCCAUCUGCAGUGAUUAGCGAAUAGCGAUACUAUGUGGAUUCAUACCCGGAGAAAAGCACAGGCAGCUGGCGGGGUACCAGAACACGUCUACGGACAGGAUAAUUAAAAUAAAUUUGGCUUCGUCAGUGAAGUUUCAAGAUCUCAAACCAAAGUCUGAAUGGAUCGAAAGAGAAGAAUCAAUCAUAAAGCAGAGGAGGAAGAAUAUAUGAACAGGAGAAGUAGCUGUAGGAAUAUAAAGAGAGUCAAAUAUAUUCAAUGGUAUGAUAAUGAUGAGGAGGAGGAGGAGGAAGAAGAGGAGGAAGAUCAGGAAGACAAUGAACAGUCAGGCAGCUCCAACCAGAACACCAACUACCAAAGAGCACAAGAAAAUGAACUCUGGCCUGUAACCUGUGGAAACAAAAAAGGCACCCUGCAUGUAGGAAAGCUGGAAAGGGGUGAGGAGUGUAUCGAGUGUGAGUGCCGCUGGUUUGCUCCCGGAGCCUUUGAGGACUUUGGGGGGAGAGCCUCCAGUAAAAAAUGGAAACAAAGUAUUUCCUAUAAAAAUAGGCCAUUGCAGUUUUGGAUUGAGAAAGGGGUAUUGGGCUGCAAGGCAUUUAAAAGAAGAGGAACUGGGACAAUAAAGUCCCAGCAAAAGAAAAUCCUGCCACAUCGUCGCAUUUUAGAGAGCUCGUCUGAAGAAUCAGAAAUAAGGUCCGAAGAAGAAACCGAGGGAGAUGAUGAUGAUGAUGAUGAUGAUGAUGAUGAUGUUGAAGAUGAAGAUGAAGAUGAAAAGGUAGGGGCUGAAACGAUAGAUUCAGAAGUUGACCAGACUAAAGAAGAGGAAGAUGAAAUGGAAAAAGGAACAAGAUGAGGAUAUGACCGCUGUUGAUGACGAGAAAGCCAAUAGUGUUUUUGAAGAAAGAGAUUCAAAGUUGAUUAUUUCAACAUCUGCAAAAAGUGCGUUAGAGAAGAAUGUCAACGUUGUCAUCGAAAGGAUUUCAGAGAAAAAGUGGUCGGCAUUGAAACUGGCCCCCCAAAGGACAAUGGCAGCCCUGAGCACCACACUGACUGGAGGAGGCCAGGUGGACAGCAGCCUUAAACUGGAACAGACAGACGAGCAUGAGACACCUCUGAUCGAAAAUACUUCUAUUUCGAGCAUACCUGGUGGUGGAGGAGACACUGACGCACUACCGGCGUCCGAGCCGGAUGACGAUAAAUCACAGCUGAAGGCUGAACACCACUGGUGCAGUCUGGAGCCAGCCCCUCAGAGCUCGGGCCAGGCAACUCCAAGCUGUGACGGAGAGCACACGUCCUCCACCUCUCAUGCUGCCCCACCACCAUGGACUGUCACAGCAAAGGUCCUGGAAAAACAGACGGAGAUUUGUCGGUCGUUGGUGGAGAUUAACACUAAUCUCAAAGCCAUCAAUGAUACUCUGACGAUGAUAAAUGAGACUUUGAAAAAUAAAUAAAAUGUUUA